UACAGAGGGCGCGAGCGUUGUCCGGAAUCACUGGGCGUAAAGGGCGCGUAGGUGGCGGCAUAAGGCCGUGGUGAAAGUCUGGGGCUCAACCCCCAGAUCGGCCAUGGCGACUGUGUCGCUUGGGUACUGUAGAGGCAGGUGGAAUUCCGGGUGUAGCGGUGGAAUGCGUAGAGAUCCGGAAGAACACCAGUGGCGAAGGCGGCCUGCUGGGCAGUGGGAUCGAAAGGUCCCUUUAACCGGACACUGAGGCGCGACAGCGUGGGGGAGCAAACAGG
rnacentral:rRNA from 1 species